rnacentral:lncRNA from 1 species
GCUGAGGGGGCAACUGGGAGCACUGGGAGCAACUGGGGGGGCAACUGGGAGCGGCUGGGGGGCAACUGGGAGCACUGGGGGGCAACUGGUCCUUACUGGUCCUUACUGGUUGUUAGUAGGUCUUAUUGGUCCUUACUGGUUGUUAGUAGUUCUUAGUGGUCCUUACUGGUUCUUAUUGGUGUUACUGGUCCUUACUGGUCCUUACUGGUGUUACUGGUCCUUACUGGUCCUUACUGGUGUUACUGGUGCUACUGGUCCUUACUGGUCCUUACUGGUGUUGCCGGUGCCCGCUUGCAGCGCCGCCAGCAGCAGCCGCCACAACCCGGUGCAGCUGUGGGACGCCUACGACGGCCGCGUCAGGGGCAGCUUCCGGGCCCACAACCACCUGGUGAG